AUUGAACGCUGGCGGCAUGCCUUACACAUGCAAGUCGAACGGUAACAGGUCUUCGGAUGCUAACGAGUGGCGAACGGGUGAGUAAUACAUCGGAACGUGCCCGAUCGUGGGGGAUAACGAGGCGAAAGCUUUGCUAAUACCGCAUACGAUCUACGGAUGAAAGCGGGGGAUCUUCGGACCUCGCGCGGACGGAGCGGCCGAUGGCAGAUUAGGUAGUUGGUGGGAUAAAAGCUUACCAAGCCGACGAUCUGUAGCUGGUCUGAGAGGAUGAUCAGCCACACUGGGACUGAGACACGGCCCAGACUCCUACGGGAGGCAGCAGUGGGGAAUUUUGGACAAUGGGCGAAAGCCUGAUCCAGCCAUGCCGCGUGCAGGAUGAAGGCCUUUGGGUUGUAAACUGCUUUUGUACGGAACGAAAAGCCUCUUUCUAAUAAAGAGGGGUCAUGACGGUACCGUAAGAAUAAGCACCGACUAACUACGUG
rnacentral:rRNA from 1 species